rnacentral:rRNA from 1 species
CGCGUAGGCGGUUUUCAAAGUCAUGUGUGAAAACCUCAGGCAUAACUUGAGGAUUGCAUGUGAAACUGGUGAACUUGAGUGCAGUAGGGGAAAGUGGAAUUCCUGGUGUAGCGGUGAAAUGCGCAGAUAUCAGGAAGAACACCGGUAGCGAAGGCGGCUUUCUGGGCUGCUACUGACGCUGAGGCGCGAAAGCUAGGGGAGCAAACAGGAUUAGAUACCCUGGUAGUCC